rnacentral:rRNA from 1 species
AUACGGAGGGUGCAAGCGUUAAUCGGAAUUACUGGGCGUAAAGCGCACGCAGGCGGUCAAUUAAGUCAGAUGUGAAAGCCCCGAGCUUAACUUGGGAAUUGCAUCUGAAACUGGUUGGCUAGAGUCUUGUAGAGGGGGGUAGAAUUCCACGUGUAGCGGUGAAAUGCGUAGAGAUGUGGAGGAAUACCGGUGGCGAAGGCGGCCCCCUGGACAAAGACGGACGCUCAGGUGCGAAAGCGUGGGGAGCAAACAGGAUUAGAUACCCUGGUAGUCCACGUGGUAAACGAUGUCGAUUUAGAGGUUGUGGUCUUGAACCGUGGCUUCUGGAGCUAACGCGUUAAAUCGACCGCCUGGGGAGUACGGCCGCAAGGUUAAAACUCAAAUGAAUUGGCGGGG